rnacentral:rRNA from 1 species
AUUGAACGCUGGCGGCAUGCCUUACACAUGCAAGUCGAACGGCAGCACGGGUGCUUGCCCCUGGUGGCGAGUGGCGAACGGGUGAGUAAUACAUCGGAACAUGUCCUGUAGUGGGGGAUAGCCCGGCGAAAGCCGGAUUAAUACCGCAUACGAUCUACGGAUGAAAGCGGGGGACCUUCGGGCCUCGCGCUAUAGGGUUGGCCGAUGGCUGAUUAGCUAGUUGGUGGGGUAAAGGCCUACCAAGGCGACGAUCAGUAGCUGGUCUGAGAGGACGACCAGCCACACUGGGACUGAGACACGGCCCAGACUCCUACGGGAGGCAGCAGUGGGGAAUUUUGGACAAUGGGCGAAAGCAUGAUCCAGCAAUGCCGCGUGUGUGAAGAAGGCCUUCGGGUUGUAAAGCACUUUUGUCCGGAAAGAAAUCCUUGGCCCUAAUACGGUCGGGGGAUGACGGUACCGGAAGAAUAAGCACCGGCUAACUACGUG